GAUGAACGCUGGCGGCGUGCUUAACACAUGCAAGUCGAACGGAAAGGCCCAAGCUUGCUUGGGUACUCGAGUGGCGAACGGGUGAGUAACACGUGGGUGAUCUGCCCUGCACUUCGGGAUAAGCCUGGGAAACUGGGUCUAAUACCGGAUAGGACCACAUUUUGGAUGGUGUGGUGGAAAGUUUUUCGGUGUGCGAUGAGCUCGCGGCCUAUCAGCUUGUUGGUGGGGUAAUGGCCUACCAAGGCGUCGACGGGUAGCCGGCCUGAGAGGGUGUACGGCCACACUGGGACUGAGAUACGGCCCAGGCACCUACGGGAGGCAGAAGUGGGGAAUAUUGCACAAUGGGCGCAAGCCUGAUGCAGCGAGGCCGCGGGGGGGAUGACGGCCUUCGGGUUGUAAACUCAUUUCGCUAGGGACGAAGCGUUAUGUGACGGUACCUGGAGAAGAAGCACCGGCUAACUACGUG
rnacentral:rRNA from 1 species